rnacentral:lncRNA from 1 species
AAUUUUGGCAGUCAGCAAUUCCUGCUGGUUAGUGGGCGGUGGGCGGUCAGCAAUUUCCUUUGUUUUCUCUUAACUUUCUUCUUCUUCUUAGCUUUCAUUCUUCUCUUAGUUUUCUUUGGCAGCUUCGGAACCGAUUACUUUCUUUGCAUUCUCCGUUAUCCUCUCUGACCUCCUGUCCUCUUAAUGAGUUUAUUCCUUUGAGAAAUUUUCCUCUUCCCUUUCACCCUCCUAAUCCAACAAAAAUUCUAUAUCCAAACCACCUCUCAUGGAAUCUGUUAUAGCAAAAUUCAUAAUGCAGGCUAUAGUGUUAUUUUUGUUGUGGUUCAUGAAUUAGGUAUGGAGGUUAUGGACCCAUUCCAUGGCAGGGCAACUCGGAUGGCAGAUCUGAGGUUGGAACAAAUUUAAUAGUUUCCCUCACUUGCAUGCAACUGGGUUGCGGCCUUGGUACCAAUCCUCCCUCUUGGCAUUGAAUACUGAGCCUUUUCACGCAUUAUUUUGCUAAUUUCCCAACUUUAUUUUGGAAUGUUGAUAAAGUUUAAAAUUCAAAGAAAGGUGUGGUGUAAUUGUAUGAUUUUUCAAUUAUUAAAUUCACUCUGUUUUUUAAUAUAAAUAAUAGGAUUGCAAAAUUAUUGGUGACUAUCAGUUCAUCAUGACGGCUUUUGUGAGAGUUGUGCUUCCAAGAUCCAUGCAUGAGUAGAACAAUUAGUUAAAGGGUCAUAUGAUUUCAUUAGAGUCGACUGCUAUACAUCUGAUGCAAUCCUCAUUUAUGAAAAUUAAGUGAGCUUAUACCGGUCAAGUUCAGUACCAACAUGAGCUCAGUCGCAGCUUCACAAUUGUUUUAAAUCAUAGCAAUUGCGGAGUUAUUAGGCACAUUCUGACUUUCUUCUUGUCAUAAUGUUGCUGGAAUUUUUCAAGUUAGUUGAUCAUUGAACUUCAACAAUGAUAAGCUAUCACUUAGGAUAGCUCUGCGUUCUCGUUUCCUCUUCUGUCUCUUGUGGUAUUAAGAGUUGAAAAAGCAUGGACAUUGUGUAAGUUGAGAGCCUUCAUAUCUGAAUAAAAACCAAAGUAGAAAAAACAUGACCUUUGCAUUCAGGAAAGCAUUUGUGCUAGCAAGAUUGGAAAGUACAUAGCAGUAUCCAUCUGCUAUUCUAUAUUUUAUGAUUGCCCAGCUUUAUAAUGAUAUGCCCUCGAUAUUGUUGAAGAAAUAUGAUAUAUUCAGUUCAAGCUAUUGCAAAUUUGGAAAAAAAAAAUCAUUAAACCAACUAAGUUUGCAUAUUAUUUUUAGCUUUUAGCAUAAUAGUUAGCUUAGAAGAGAAAAGAAGGUGAACUUUUGAUCUUGUUUGGAUUUAAGAAAGAAGUCAAAGGAUUUAGGACAUUAGAGAUGAUUCAAUGCUCUACAACCAGUGUUUCAAAUACAAACUGGGCCUUUUUGAGAACUUAUAUAACUGCAGAGUAGGUUUUCUCUUGCUUGCUUUGUCCAGGUUGUACGGAGAGAUUUCCUAUAGUUUUUUUCUCAAAAUAUUUUGGGAAAUUUAGAAAAGAAUGCUAUUGAAAUAGAAGAAUUUUACAUUAUUUUGCUGGAAGUUUUGUUACUUCCUUUUUUUCUGUGGUGGAUUCUAAUUAGUAGCUAAAAGAUGAUAUGUUGAAUUGGAAUUUAAUAUAGUCAUGAUUAGAGGAUAAGAAACUUUCAAAUGUAAUUUACUGGUCAAAAGAAAAAUUUUGGCGAUGGGAUUUGUGGUGUGAGAUUCAAGCUCUUGAUUGCCUUUGUGCAGCAAUUGCAAAUAUGAUAUAUUGAAGGGACUAAACACGUUGCAGGCCUUCCCUACUCACAUUGCAGAGAAAAGAUCAUACUUGUAGACAAGGAGAAUGAUCCUUUACCUUGCUGUAAAACAUGCUUCAAUUGUUUUGAUAUUUGGAAAUGCAAUGAUAGUUUCUUGCUUUCACAGUUUUCUUUUUUUUUUUUUUUUGGGAACAAUUUUGCUCUUAUGAGCUGCACAUGGAUCGACUAACUCUACAAGGAAGUUUGUUCCUUGCUUAUGAUUAAGUAUAUGUGAUUACAAUACUGCUGCAACUUUUAUGCAGAAAUGAAACAUGCCUAACAUUUCAUAUUUUAUGAAGGCUGUCACACAGUAUCCUUUACCAGAUCUUGUAAGCUCAGUUCCAACUUUUGAGCUUCAGUGAAAUUCACUUCUGUCCGCGUGGGGCUCUUGGAUAGAACCUUGCACCGAUUACAGCCACGCAAAUAGAGUUCAAGGGAACCUUGCACUCUGCUGCAAGCGGCUGCCCAGUUGUUUCUUGAAUUCUUAGAAUGGUUAGAGGGUCCUUUUAGUUCUGCCUAAUUUUAAGCCUUACUUACUGAUUAAUGCUAUAUUAAGAUGUUAGAUAACCUGAUUUCAAGGUCAUGUUUAUCUGUGCAAUUAGGAAAAAAUACACACUCACACACAUGACUACUCUAUCUACCAAAGAAAAAAAUACACAAACAUAACAGCAAAAUAAUGAGUCUCAACUACCUGACGCAUGACGUCAGGGCUGAAAAACUAGUAGCAGUAGAAAAGUCUCUACUUUAUUUAUGUUUGUAAAAGUUGGGGUGGCUUUGUGGCUAAUCUGCCUUUUGAGCAUGCCUCCCAGAUCAAAAGUAAGUGAGUUUUUUUUCUUUCUCAAUUUUGUGUUCGUUGUGAUUGUUUCUCUUCACAUUCUUUUUUGGUUUCUUCAUUAAUUAAGUACAUUUUUUAAAUCUUGUACAUUUGAGGUCCUCGAGGACAAAGGAUUAGAUGAAAUUAGAUGAUACUAAAUGGAUCAAUCUUUGGCACAAUACAUAUACAAUGGUGUGAUGAAAAGGCUCUUAUUUUUGAGAUGUCUCAAAUCCUAUCUAGCAUUGGCCAGACACUGUUAUUUUGACUAAAAUUAGAGUUGAAAAAAAAAAUUUUCACAUUUGACCACCACAUAGUACAUAUUCAGGUAUGACAUGGAAAAUUUUGGCAUUUGACUUUAUAUUCUUAUGGAUACAAGAGCUAGGGAACACAACCCUACAAAAACUUGCAAAGACCAUUGACCUUGUUGGCUUUAUAUUAAUUCUUCCACAUGUUUCAAAUUCAGCUUUUCGUGAAAUCCUUGUUUCUUAAAAACUAAUUCCAUUUUCCUUGCAACUACAAGAAUUGAUACGGAAUUUUGCAGAUCAACCUGGUGUACUAUCUGUCCAAGAAAGUGAUAGCAAAUAUUUUGAACUAGAAGCUAGAGAGGUUGAGGCUGAGGAUUCCAAAAUGAAGUUUCGCACUAUGAAAGAUGCAAUAGGGGGUCAAAUAAGCUAUCAAGAUUUGCUCUCAUGGCACCUUGGUUUUGAUUAAUGAACUAAGUUAUAGCAAAUUUCAUGAAUUAUCUAUCUUGUAACUGCGCAAGUUUUUAUAGUGCCACUUACUUGUGUGUUUUAUAUUUGAACAAAGUAAAUAUAUUAUUUAUGUACUUUUAUGCAGCAAAAUGAGAGCUUUUAGGUCUAA